rnacentral:rRNA from 1 species
UACGGGGGGGGUAAGCGUUGUUCGGAAUUACUGGGCGUAAAGGGUUCGUAGGUGGCUUGCUAAGUCAGACGUGAAAUCCCUCAGCUUAACUGGGGAACUGCGUCUGAGACUGGUGAGCUUGAGUGCAGGAGAGGAACGCGGAAUUCCAGGUGUAGCGGUGAAAUGCGUAGAUAUCGGGAAGAACACCCGUGGCGAAGGCGGUUCUCUGGGACGGUACUGACGCUGAGACGCGAAAGCCAGGGGAGCGAACGGG